CCUACGGGAGGCUGCAGUGAGGAAUAUUGGUCAAUGGACGAGAGUCUGAACCAGCCAAGUAGCGUGAAGGAUGACUGCCCUAUGGGUUGUAAACUUCUUUUAUAUGGGAAUAAAAUGUUCCACGUGUGGGAUUUUGUAUGUACCAUAUGAAUAAGGAUCGGCUAACUCCGUGCCAGCAGCCGCGGUAAUACGGAGGAUCCGAGCGUUAUCCGGAUUUAUUGGGUUUAAAGGGAGCGUAGGUGGAUUGUUAAGUCAGUUGUGAAAGUUUGCGGCUCAACCGUAAAAUUGCAGUUGAAACUGGCAGUCUUGAGUGCAGUAGAGGUGAGCGGAAUUCGUGGUGUAGCGGUGAAAUGCUUAGAUAUCACGAAGAACUCCGAUUGCGAAGGCAGUUCACUGGACUGCAACUGACACUGAGGCUCGAAAGUGUGGGUAUCAAACAGGAUUAGAUACCCCAGUAGUC
rnacentral:rRNA from 1 species